ensembl:lncRNA
CCCGUUUGCGCUUAUGGCUUUUCAUGGAAAGGGAAUUGGCAUCCUCUGAAGGUAGAUCAUCUGAACCGCCAUCAGUGGUGUCUGACGAGGAGCUUUUGUUCCGAGAAAUUACAAAACGAUCAAUUAUUUCAAAUUGUAUGUUUAUGGCAGGUAACGUCUUUUGGCACCAGAUAGCUAAAAGUGCAUAUGUUGCCAUUAUGAUCAAAUGAUCGCGUGAAGACUCAUGGGUAGCCUAUGUAUUAUUUUUAAGGAAUAGAAUGCAAUUUUUACGUUCUGUUUAUGUUUAUGUAGUCUUUUGGACGUUUUUAAUUUUUGGAAGAGGGAAAAAAAUGCUUCAGAUGAAAUCAUUUGGCGGACCCCCUGCAGUACCUCCACGGACCCCCUGGGGGUCGCGGACCCCCGGUUGAAGACCUCUGGCCUAGACAUUGAGAGACAACCCAUUGUAUGGUGAAAUUCAUAUUCAAACUAUGUUCCAAAUGUAUGGUUCCAGCAGCUCUGCAAGGCCAUGAGGAGGAAAUGCUUAUGAUGAGGUUUCCCCAUCUCCUCCUAUACCAUGGGCCAGAGGAGCAUGACCACCUGGGUGAGGAGUUUCUGAAUUAUCAGACCAUGCCAACAACCUCCCUUCAGGACGAAACUGAGAUGGAAAGCUUCUGGGCUGGAAUGGCAACACGGAAACAUAAGGUGACAGGAGCCAAAGAAUUUGAGAGGCUUGCUGCCGUCGCCAAGCUGGUCCUGGUGUUUCCCCAUUCGAAUGCAGAUGCUGAGAGGGUGUUUUCAGUUGUGGGACUGAACAAAACUAAGACCAGAAAUAGCCUGGCAUUGGAUGGCACCCUGUCCUCAAUAAUGGCCAUAAAGAUGGCCGACCUGGAGCCCUGUUUCAGAUGGGAGCCCCCCUCAGAGGUCAUCAAGGCCUCCAAGUAGGCCACAGGCCAGUACAACCUUGCCCCCAGAUCUUAGAAAAUGACUAACCAGCUUCUGAUCUGCAUCUGAUACCUCAUUUUUAGUUAUUUUUGUCAUGUGUUGAUCCAUUGUAUUGCUUAAAAAGGCUACUGUAUAAGCACUUUAUUUGUUGCACUUUUUUGUUUGAUGGAACGUGUGGUGGGAGGCUUUGAAUAAUGAAAAAUAUUUCUCCCUAAA